GGGUUGUGAGGUUAAGCGACUAAGCGUACACGGUGGAUGCCCUGGCAGUCAGAGGCGAUGAAGGACGUGCUAAUCUGCGAUAAGCGCCGGUAAGGUGAUAUGAACCGUUAUAACCGGCGAUUUCCGAAUGGGGAAACCCAGUGUGAUUCGUCACACUAUCAUUACGUGAAUACAUAGCGUAAUGAAGCGAACCGGGGGAACUGAAACAUCUAAGUACCCCGAGGAAAAGAAAUCAACCGAGAUUCCCCCAGUAGCGGCGAGCGAACGGGGAGGAGCCCAGAGCCUGAAUCAGCAUGUGUGUUAGUGGAAGCGUCUGGAAAGGCGCGCGAUACAGGGUGACAGCCCCGUACACAAAAGCGCAUGUGCUGUGAGCUCGAUGAGUAGGGCGGGACACGUGGUAUCCUGUCUGAAUAUGGGGGGACCAUCCUCCAAGGCUAAAUACUCCUGACUGACCGAUAGUGAACCAGUACCGUGAGGGAAAGGCGAAAAGAACCCCGGCGAGGGGAGUGAAAAAGAACCUGAAACCGUGUACGUACAAGCAGUGGGAGCACAGGUUUACCUGUGUGACUGCGUACCUUUUGUAUAAUGGGUCAGCGACUUAUAUUCUGUAGCAAGGUUAACCGAAUAGGGGAGCCGGAGGGAAACCGAGUCUUAACCGGGCGUUAAGUUGCAGGGUAUAGACCCGAAACCCGGUGAUCUAGCCAUGGGCAGGUUGAAGGUUGGGUAACACUAACUGGAGGACCGAACCGACUAAUGUUGAAAAAUUAGCGGAUGACCUGUGGCUGGGGGUGAAAGGCCAAUCAAACCGGGAGAUAGCUGGUUCUCCCCGAAAGCUAUUUAGGUAGCGCCUCGUGAAUUCAUCUCCGGGGGUAGAGCACUGUUUCGGCUAGGGGGCCAUCCCGGCUUACCAACCCGAUGCAAACUGCGAAUACCGGAGAAUGUUAUCACGGGAGACACACGGCGGGUGCUAACGUCCGUCGUGAAGAGGGAAACAACCCAGACCGCCAGCUAAGGUCCCAAAGUCAUGGUUAAGUGGGAAACGAUGUGGGAAGGCCCAGACAGCCAGGAUGUUGGCUUAGAAGCAGCCAUCAUUUAAAGAAAGCGUAAUAGCUCACUGGUCGAGUCGGCCUGCGCGGAAGAUGUAACGGGGCUAAACCAUGCACCGAAGCUGCGGCAGCGACACUGUGUGUUGUUGGGUAGGGGAGCGUUCUGUAAGCCUGCGAAGGUGGCCUGUGAGGGUUGCUGGAGGUAUCAGAAGUGCGAAUGCUGACAUAAGUAACGAUAAAGCGGGUGAAAAGCCCGCUCGCCGGAAGACCAAGGGUUCCUGUCCAACGUUAAUCGGGGCAGGGUGAGUCGACCCCUAAGGCGAGGCCGAAAGGCGUAGUCGAUGGGAAACGGGUUAAUAUUCCCGUACUUGGUGUUACUGCGAAGGGGGGACGGAGAAGGCUAUGUUGGCCGGGCGACGGUUGUCCCGGUUUAAGCGUGUAGGUGUGUGUUCCAGGUAAAUCCGGUUCACUUUAACACUGAGGCGUGAUGACGAGGCACUACGGUGCUGAAGCAACAAAUGCCCUGCUUCCAGGAAAAGCCUCUAAGCAUCAGGUAACAUCAAAUCGUACCCCAAACCGACACAGGUGGUCAGGUAGAGAAUACCAAGGCGCUUGAGAGAACUCGGGUGAAGGAACUAGGCAAAAUGGUGCCGUAACUUCGGGAGAAGGCACGCUGACACGUAGGUGAAGUGAUUUACUCAUGGAGCUGAAGUCAGUCGAAGAUACCAGCUGGCUGCAACUGUUUAUUAAAAACACAGCACUGUGCAAACACGAAAGUGGACGUAUACGGUGUGACGCCUGCCCGGUGCCGGAAGGUUAAUUGAUGGGGUCAGCGCAAGCGAAGCUCCUGAUCGAAGCCCCGGUAAACGGCGGCCGUAACUAUAACGGUCCUAAGGUAGCGAAAUUCCUUGUCGGGUAAGUUCCGACCUGCACGAAUGGCGUAAUGAUGGCCAGGCUGUCUCCACCCGAGACUCAGUGAAAUUGAACUCGCUGUGAAGAUGCAGUGUACCCGCGGCAAGACGGAAAGACCCCGUGAACCUUUACUAUAGCUUGACACUGAACAUUGAGCCUUGAUGUGUAGGAUAGGUGGGAGGCUUUGAAGCGUGGACGCCAGUCUGCGUGGAGCCGACCUUGAAAUACCACCCUUUAAUGUUUGAUGUUCUAACGUGGACCCGUGAUCCGGGUUGCGGACAGUGUCUGGUGGGUAGUUUGACUGGGGCGGUCUCCUCCUAAAGAGUAACGGAGGAGCACGAAGGUUGGCUAAUCCUGGUCGGACAUCAGGAGGUUAGUGCAAUGGCAUAAGCCAGCUUGACUGCGAGCGUGACGGCGCGAGCAGGUGCGAAAGCAGGUCAUAGUGAUCCGGUGGUUCUGAAUGGAAGGGCCAUCGCUCAACGGAUAAAAGGUACUCCGGGGAUAACAGGCUGAUACCGCCCAAGAGUUCAUAUCGACGGCGGUGUUUGGCACCUCGAUGUCGGCUCAUCACAUCCUGGGGCUGAAGUAGGUCCCAAGGGUAUGGCUGUUCGCCAUUUAAAGUGGUACGCGAGCUGGGUUUAGAACGUCGUGAGACAGUUCGGUCCCUAUCUGCCGUGGGCGCUGGAGAACUGAGGGGGGCUGCUCCUAGUACGAGAGGACCGGAGUGGACGCAUCACUGGUGUUCGGGUUGUCAUGCCAAUGGCACUGCCCGGUAGCUAAAUGCGGAAGAGAUAAGUGCUGAAAGCAUCUAAGCACGAAACUUGCCCCGAGAUGAGUUCUCCCUGAGACUACGAGUCUCCUGAAGGAACGUUGAAGACGACGACGUUGAUAGGCCGGGUGUGUAAGCGCAGCGAUGCGUUGAGCUAACCGGUACUAAUGAACCGUGAGGCUUAACCUUACAACGCCGAAG
rnacentral:rRNA from 1 species